rnacentral:lncRNA from 10 species
UAUUGUUAAUUCAUAGCUAAAAAGUAUGGAUGGAGGACCAGCAGCAUCUGUAUCACCUGUUUGGAAUUUCAGCUGGGCAGCUUCGAUCCCACCACCUGUAGCCACUGAGGUUCACAGGCUCUGUUUGAGGUGUUGUGUUAGAUUGUGCUGGGUUGGUUUUGCUGCUUAUUGAGUGAUGAAGAGCAACAUAUUAGCUACUGAGAUAUUUUGCAGAAAAAGGAAGAGAUGUCUUCAGCUCAAAUGCUAUCAAACUUUUGGUGCUGAAGACCCGGGACAGGAGGACUCCUUCAGGAGACGGGUCCCCUGUCCUUGCCCUCACUCCGUGAGGAGAUCCACCUACGACCUCGGGUCCUCAGACCAACCAGCCCAAGGAACAUCUCAUGAAUUUCAAAUCGGAUUCCCAACUAUAUGAAGACACCCUAGCUGGACGAUCAGUUCUUAUUAAGAACCUGACCCCUCAAACUCUACAACCUCGAUGGACUGGACCCUACUUAGUCAUCUAUAGUACCCCAACUGCCGUCCGCCUGCAGGAUCCUCCCCACUGGGUUCACCGUUCCAGAAUAAAGCUGUGCCCAUCGGA